GCACAGGUGGUGAAAUUGGUAUACACGCUACUUUGAGGGGGUAGUGGCAGCAAUGCCGUGGGAGUUCGAGUCUCCUCCUGUGCA
rnacentral:tRNA from 1 species